rnacentral:lncRNA from 1 species
UUUAGUGAUGGUGGUGGUAGUAGUAAUAGAAUGUUGAUGGUAGUGAUAGCACUUUAGAGAUGGUGGUGGUAGUAGUAGUAAUAAUGAUGGUAGUGAUGGUGGUGGUAGUAGUAGUAAUAAUGAUGGUAGUGAUAGCAGUUUAGUGAUGGUGAUGGGGUAGUAGCAGCAAUGAUGAUGGUAGUGAUAGCAGUUUGGUGAUGGUGGGAGUAGUAGAAUUGAUGAUGGUAGUGAUAGCAGUUAAGUGAUGGUGGUAGUAGUAGUAAUGAUGAUGGGAGUGAUAGAACUUUAGUGAUGGUAGUGGUGGUAGUAGUAGUAAUGAUGAUGGUAGUAAUAGCAGUUUAGUGAUUGUGGUAGUAGUAGUAUAAUUAACUAAGAUGGUAGUGAUAGCAGUUUACUGGUGGUGGUGGUAGUAGUAGAAUUAACAAAGAUGGUAGUGAUAGCAGUUUACUGGUGGUGGUGGUAGUAGUAGAAUUAACGAAGAUGGUAGUGAUAGCAGUUUAGUGAUGGGGUGGUAGUAGCAGUAAUGAUGAUGGUAGUGAUAGCAGUUUAGUGAUGGUGGUGGUAGUAGUAGAAUUAACUAAGAUGGUAGUGUUUGCAGUUUAGUGAUGGUGGUGGUAGUAGUAGUAGAAUGAUGAUGGUAGUAAUAACAUUUUAGUGAUGGUGGUGGUAGUAGUAAUGAUGAUGGUAGUGAUAGCAGUUUAGUGAUGGUGGUGGUAGUAGUAGUAAUGAUGAUGGUAUUGAUAGCAGUUUAGUGAUGGUGGUAGUAGUAAUGAUGGUAGUGAUAUAAGUUUAGUGAUGGUGGUGGUAGUAGUAGUAAUGAUGAUGGAAGUGAUACCAUUUUAGUGAUGGUGGUAGAAGUAGAAUGAUGAUGAUGGUAGUGAUAGUAGUUUAGUGAUGGUGGUGGUAGUAGUAGUAAUGAUGAUGGAAGUGAUACCAUUUUGGUGAUGGUGGUAGAAGUAGAAUGAUGAUGAUGGUAGUGAUAGCAGUUUAGUGAUGGUGGUGGUAGUAGUAGUAGAAUGAUGAUGGUAGUGAUAGCAGUUUAGUGAUGGUGGUGGUAGUAGUAGAAUUAACUAAGAUGGUAGUGAUAGCAGUUUAGUGAAGAUGGUGGUAGUAGUAGUAGAAUGAUGAUGAUGGGAGUGAUAACAUUUUAGUGAUGGUGGUGGUGGUAGUAGUAGAACGAUGAUGGUAGUGAUAGCAGUUUAGUGAUGGUGGUGGUAGUAGUAGUAAUGAUGAUGGUAGUAAUAGCGGUUUAGUGAUGGUGGUGGUAGUAGUAGAAUUAACUAAGAUGGUAGUGAUUGCAGUUUAGUGAUGGUGGUGGUAGUAGUAGUAGAAUGAUGAUGGUAGUGAUAACAUUUUAGUGAUUGUGGUGUUGGAAGUAGUAGAAUGAUGAUAGUAGUGAUAGCAGUUUAGUGAUGGUGUUGGUAGUAGUAGUAAUGAUGAUGGUAGUGAUAGCAGUUUAGUGAUGGUGGUGGUAGUAGUAGUACAGAUGAAGCAAGUGAUAGCAGUUUAGUGAUGUGGUGGUAGUAGUAGUAAUGAUGAUGGUAGUGAUAGCAGUUUAGUGAUGGUGGUGGUAGUAGUAGUAGUAAUGAUGAUGGUAGUGAUAGUAGUUUAGUGACAGUGGUGGUAGUAGUAGUAAUGAUGAUGGCAGUGAUAGCAGUUUAGUGAUGGUUGUGGUAGUAGGUGAAUGAUGAUGGUAGUGAUAGCAGUUUAGUGAUGAUGGUGGUGGUAGUAGUUGUAAUGAUGAUGGGAGCGUUAACAGUUUAGUGAUGGUGGUGGUGGUAGUAGUAGAAUGAUGAUGAUGGUAGUUAUAACAUUUUAGUGAUGGUGGUGGUGGUGGUAGUAGUAGAACGAUGAUGGUAGUGAUAGCAGUUUAGUGAUGGUGGUGGUAGUAGUAGAAGUAAUGAUGAUGGUAGUGAUAGCAGUUUAGUGAUGGUGGUGGUAGUAGUAGUAAUGAUGAUGGUAGUAAUAGCGGUUUAGUGAUGGUGGUGGUAGUAGUAGCAAUGCUGAUUGUAGUGAUAGCAGUUUAGUGAUGGUGGUGGUUGAAGUAGUAAUGAUGAUGGUAGUGAUAGCUUUUUAGUGAUGGAGUGGUGGUAAUAGUAAUAAUGAUGAUGGUAGUGAUAGCAGUUUAGUGAUGGUGGUGGUAGUAGUAGUAAUGAUGAUGGUAGUGAUAGCAGUUUAGUGAUGGUGGUGGUAGUAGUUGUAAUGAUGAUGGUAGUGAUAGCAGUUUAGUGAUGGUGGUGGUAGUAGUUGUAAUGAUGAUGGUAGUGAUAGCAGUUUAGUGAUGGUGGUGGUAGUAGUAGUAAUGAUGAUGGUAGUGAUAGCAGUUUAGUGAUGGUGGUGGUAGUAGUAGUAAUGAUGAUGGUAGUGAUACGAGUUUAGUGAUGGUGUUAGUGGUAGUACAGGGGAUGAGUCACCCUAUUACAGGGGCUGAGUCACUGGCUUAUUGGUGUUCUUCCAUGCCGUCCCUAGGAGGGAUGCGUCACUUCAGUGGGUUGAGUCACUGACGUGGUCUUCCUGUCUGGGUUGGCG